CAGUCGCCGCGGGAAUACGUAGGGUGCAAGCGUUAAUCGGAAUUACUGGGCGUAAAGCGUGCGCAGGCGGUUAUAUAAGACAGAUGUGAAAUCCCCGGGCUCAACCUGGGAACUGCAUUUGUGACUGUAUAGCUAGAGUACGGCAGAGGGGGAUGGAAUUCCGCGUGUAGCAGUGAAAUGCGUAGAUAUGCGGAGGAACACCGAUGGCGAAGGCAAUCCCCUGGGCCUGUACUGACGCUCAUGCACGAAAGCGUGGGGAGCAAACAGGAUUAGAGACCCGUGUAGUCCCUGUCUCUUAUAA
rnacentral:rRNA from 1 species